CUCAGUGGCGGGGCUGGUGCGGGGCGCGGGGAGCCUGGGGCUGUGCUCGCCUGGUCUCGGGGAAGCUGCUCCCUUAGGGGCGGAACUCCAGCCGAAAGGGAAAGGACUGUGGCCUGACACUGGUGAGGACUUGCCAGCCUGGGUCUCGGGCUCCCGCGGAGCUGGGGAGCUCCGAGUUCCGGACCUCAGUUUGGGGAAUAAUGGGGAGGGUGCCCGCGGCAAACCUCUCAGGCCCCCUUCGGCAGCCUCCGCAGUAAAAGCAGCCACGCACACCCCUGCACGGUGCCCCCUCGCCUGGGACCGCUCCACGCCAUCUCCCUCCUCGGAAUGAUUGGAAUCUGGACAAGGACGGCUGCAGAUUCCUGAGGGCCUGAGGCAGAGAGAGCAGCAGGUGAGGAGCCGCAGCAGGACUCACUCAUGAGGUCCAGGGCUCCCCCUCCCCCCUGACAGCUGCUCUGGGUGCUCAGAACCAGCCAUUCUCCCCUGGAAGCUGAGCAGAGCCUCCUGGGAAGACAAAGACCCAUUGUCCUCGGCUCAACCCAGGUCUGUGACCGAGGACCCACUACUCCAGGCCUGGAGGCUCAGCUAUUUCGGUCCCAAAUGGCACUCCAGUUCAGGCUUGGGAGUCUCUUGCGUCCCACUGGUCAGCACUGGGAGCAGUGGUCCCUGGGACUGAGAGUGAGAUCCGGGCCAGGCCUACCGUGUGGGUGUUGGGCCAUGUCAUGACAUGUCGGGCUCCUAGGGCUGUCGGGUGGUUGCCUUAUAAAAGUGCUGCCCGCAGGGCUGCGUGACAGGCAGGCUGUUGCUCUGCGGGCGCAUGCUGGGGCUUGCGGCAGAUAAGAUUAGGGGCCACGUGGAAGUGCGUCGUACAGAGCGGUGGCAUGCCUUUCUCACUGAUGUUCUCAUUCAUUCUGCGCAUAUCUGCCCAGCAUUCACUGUGUGCCGGGCUCUGUGCUAGGGGCUGAGUGUUCAGGGGUGAGCCACACAGACACGGGCUCCGCUGUCGUAAAGUCUGCAAAUGAAUGGGGAGACAGACAAAUGAAUGAGCAGAGAUACCAAGGAGUCACUCCACAGUGCGCAGUGCUGUGAAGAUGUGCACAUGGCCUGGGAGCCUGGAGCAUGGAGGUGGCCCGGCAGGUCUCAGAGAGGAGAUGACAUCUGAGCUGAGACCUGCAGGCUGAGGAGGCAGCCACUCCUGGAGCCCAGGCCGGGCACAAGUUGGUCUGUUUGAGAAACAGAAGAAAACCCAGAGUGGCUGCACCACAGUGAACAAGGGGGUGGAGGAGCAAGAGGGGCUGGGAGGUGGGCUGGGGCCCAUCAGGCAGGACCCUGAGACCAGCAGCAAGCAGCUGGAAUGACUGUGGAGAGAUUUCACAAGCGCAACAGCCCACUCGGCUGCUCUGCAGAUUACAAGGCCAGCGUGGAGUCAGAGAGGCCAGGGAGGAGCCCAUUGUAAGACUAGAGAUGCUGAGGCUUGAAGGAGGCUGGUGGCCACAGAAAUCAAGAGAAGUGGGCCUAUUCAAGACCUGUUCUGAAGGUGGGACUCAGUGCUUGCUGAAGGAUCAGCUGUGGAGGGUGAGAGAGCGGAGAAGUGCAGGAGGACUUCUGGGUGUCUAGGCCGCUGGGUGCAGAUUCUCUGCUCUUCCCACAAGAGGCGGACACUGUUUCCCUCCCUGGAACCUGAGCAGGCUGGGGGUGCGCUUGGACCAUGGAGUACUGAGUACCCAGUACCAUGGGCCCCAUGCUGAUUUCCAGGUCAGACAUGUCCAGCGGGAGGGGGACCGAGCCUGGGGAGGCUCCCGUACUGGAAGUUGGGCAGAGAGGAGGAAUGAUACAUAGACCGAGCUCUGUAAUGUCUGUGUAUCAUGGGUACUUUGGGGCCAGUUGAGCAGGAGGAAGGAGGAAGGCAGGCGAGAGAGCUGUCAGGAGUCAGGAGGAGAGAGAGGUGUUUCAAGGAAAGAGUGUUGGCCUGUGUGAAAUAUUGCCCAAUGGUUGGACAGAGAAGUGUCCAGUAGAUUUGGCAACAAGGAGACUGGGGCCACCUUGAUGAGAGCCUUGUGAGUGGCAGAGUGAAUACGGAAGCUGGAUUGGAAUGGCUGGACAAGCACACGGGAGCUAAUGAAUGGGAGGGAGCAACCACGGGAACUUUUCAGGAAGUUUCAGUGCAAAGGGACGCAGAGAAAUGGGGCAUUGGCUGGGAAUAGACGGGUCGAGAGAGGGUUUUGUCCAAAUAUGAGGAUAUGAAAUUGGGUCUCUAUGUUGAUGACAGUGACCUGUAGGAGGGGGAGGAACUGAUUCUACGGAGGGAGGGGCUACACAGGAGCAAUGUCCUUGGUAAAGAUGGGGGUAACCAGAGCACAGGAAGACAGAACAGGCCUUUGA